rnacentral:rRNA from 1 species
CGGGGCUUAGUGCCGCAGCUAACGCAUUAAGCACUCCGCCUGGGGAGUACGACCGCAAGGUUGAAACUCAAAGGAAUUGACGGGGGCCCGCACAAGCGGUGGAGCAUGUGGUUUAAUUCGAAGCAACGCGAAGAACCUUACCAGGUCUUGACAUCCCGAUGCCCGCUCUAGAGAUAGAGUUUUACUUCGGUACAUCGGUGACAGGUGGUGCAUGGUUGUCGUCAGCUCGUGUCGUGAGAUGUUGGGUUAAGNCCCGCAACGAGCGCAACCCUUAUUGUUAGUUGCCAUCAUUCAGUUGGGCACUCUAGCGAGACUGCCGGUAAUAAACCGGAGGAAGGUGGGGAUGACGUCAAAUCAUCAUGCCCCUUAUGACCUGGGCUACACACGUGCUACAAUGGCUGGUACAACGAGUCGCAAGUCGGUGACGGCAAGCUAAUCUCUUAAAGCCAGUCUCAGUUCGGAUUGUAGGCUGCAACUCGCCUACAUGAAGUCGGAAUCGCUAGUAAUCGCGGAUCAGCACGCCGCGGUGAAUACGUUCCCGGGCCUUGUNCAC